ACUAUUUCCUCUUUGGUUGGUACAUUUGACCCUGAAGACAAAUCUAUGAUGCAGAUGUAAUCAUAUUCUCUGCACCGUAGGUUUGUUGUCAGGGUUAAAUGGGCUACUUUACAUGGAAGCA
rnacentral:pre_miRNA from 1 species